rnacentral:rRNA from 1 species
UACGGGGGGGGCAAGCGUUGUUCGGAAUUACUGGGCGUAAAGGGCUCGUAGGCGGCCAACUAAGUCAGACGUGAAAAUCCCUCGGCUUAACCGGGGAACUGCGUCUGAUACUGGAUGGCUUGAGAUUGGGAGAGGGAUGCGGAAUUCCAGGUGUAGCGGUGAAAUGCGUAGAUAUCUGGAGGAACACCGGUGGCGAAGGCGGCAUCCUGGACCAACACUGACGCUGAGUGAGCGAAA